rnacentral:rRNA from 1 species
AGAGUUUGAUCAUGGCUCAGAUUGAACGCUGGCGGCAGGCCUAACACAUGCAAGUCGAACGGUAACAGGAAACAGCUUGCUGUUUCGCUGACGAGUGGCGGACGGGUGAGUAAUGUCUGGGAAACUGCCUGAUGGAGGGGGAUAACUACUGGAAACGGUAGCUAAUACCGCAUAAUGUCGCAAGACCAAAGAGGGGGACCUUAGGGCCUCUUGCCAUCGGAUGUGCCCAGAUGGGAUUAGCUUGUUGGUGGGGUAACGGCUCACCAAGGCGACGAUCCCUAGCUGGUCUGAGAGGAUGACCAGCCACACUGGAACUGAGACACGGUCCAGACUCCUACGGGAGGCAGCAGUGGGGAAUAUUGCACAAUGGGCGCAAGCCUGAUGCAGCCAUGCCGCGUGUAUGAAGAAGGCCUUCGGGUUGUAAAGUACUUUCAGCGGGGAGGAAGGGAGUAAAGUUAAUACCUUUGCUCAUUGACGUUACCCGCAGAAGAAGCACCGGCUAACUCCGUGCCAGCAGCCGCGGUAAUACGGAGGGUGCAAGCGUUAAUCGGAAUUACUGGGCGUAAAGCGCACGCAGGCGGUUUGUUAAGUCAGAUGUGAAAUCCCCGGGCUCAACCUGGGAACUGCAUCUGAUACUGGCAAGCUUGAGUCUCGUAGAGGGGGGUAGAAUUCCAGGUGUAGCGGUGAAAUGCGUAGAGAUCUGGAGGAAUACCAGUGGCGAAGGCGGCCCCCUGGACGAAAACUGACGCUCAGGUGCGAAAGCGUGGGGAGCAAACAGGAUUAGAUACCCUGGUAGUCCACGCCGUAAACGAUGUCGACUUGGAGGUUGUGCCCUUGAGGCGUGGCUUCCGGAGCUAACGCGUUAAGUCGACCGCCUGGGGAGUACGGCCGCAAGGUUAAAACUCAAAUGAAUUGACGGGGGCCCGCACAAGCGGUGGAGCAUGUGGUUUAAUUCGAUGCAACGCGAAGAACCUUACCUGGUCUUGACAUCCACGGAAGUUUUCAGAGAUGAGAAUGUGCCUUCGGGAACCGUGAGACAGGUGCUGCAUGGCUGUCGUCAGCUCGUGUUGUGAAAUGUUGGGUUAAGUCCCGCAACGAGCGCAACCCUUAUCCUUUGUUGCCAGCGGUCCGGCCGGGAACUCAAAGGAGACUGCCAGUGAUAAACUGGAGGAAGGUGGGGAUGACGUCAAGUCAUCAUGGCCCUUACGACCAGGGCUACACACGUGCUACAAUGGCGCAUACAAAGAGAAGCGACCUCGCGAGAGCAAGCGGACCUCAUAAAGUGCGUCGUAGUCCGGAUUGGAGUCUGCAACUCGACUCCAUGAAGUCGGAAUCGCUAGUAAUCGUGGAUCAGAAUGCCACGGUGAAUACGUUCCCGGGCCUUGUACACACCGCCCGUCACACCAUGGGAGUGGGUUGCAAAAGAAGUAGGUAGCUUAACCUUCGGGAGGGCGCUUACCACUUUGUGAUUCAUGACUGGGGUGAAGUCGUAACAAGGUAACCGUAGGGGAACCUGCGGUUG